GGGUCAGUAGGUUGGUCGUGCCACCGGUACGUACUGGUCUCACUGAUUCCUCAUUCCUGAAGAACCGUAAUGCCAUUAAUUUGGUGUUGCGGGGAAACAGGACUGUUACUUUGAAAAAAUUAGAGUGUUUAAAGCAAGCUAACGCUUGGAUACAUUAGCAUGGAAUAAUGAAAUAGGACGAUCGAUCCUAUUUUGUUGGUUUCUAGGAUUGACGUA
rnacentral:rRNA from 1 species